UAUCCGGAUUUACUGGGCGUAAAGUGCGUUGAGGCGGCUCUGUAAGUUGGACGUGAAAGCUCCUGGCUCGACUGGGAGAUGUCGUAUCAAUACUGCGGAACUUGAGGACUAGCAGAGGGGGGUGGAAUUCCCGGUAGUAGUGGUGAAAUGCGUAGAUAUCGGGGAGGAACACCAGUGGCGAAGGCGGCCCCCUGGGCUGCUCCUGACGCUGAAGGCGAAAGCUAGGGGAGCGAACGGGAUUAGAAACCCCGGUAGUCCUAGCCGUAAACGAUGGAUACUAGGUGUAGGGGGUGAAUACUCCCUCUGUGCCGAAGCUAACGCGUUAAGUAUCCCGCCUGGGGAGUACGGCCGCAAGGCUAAAACUCAAAGGAAUUGACGGGGACCCGCACAAGCAGCGGAGCGUGUGGUUUAAUUCGAUGCUACGCGAAGAACCUUACCAGGGCUUGACAUGCAGGUAGUAGUGAAGCGAAAGCGGAACGAUCCUCCGGGAAGUCUGCACAGGUGCUGCAUGGCUGUCGUCAGCUCGUGCCGUGAGGUGUUAGGUUAAGUCCUGUAACGAGCGCAACCCCUGCCGUUAGUUAUAUGUGUCUAGCGGGACUGCCCGGUAAAACUGGGAGGAAGGUGGGGAUGACGUCAAGUCAGCAUGGCCUUUAUGUCCUGGGCUACACACACGCUACAAUGGCCGGUACAAUGGGUCGCCAAGCCGUGAGGCGGAGCCAAUCCUGAAAGCCGGUCUCAGUUCGGAUUGUAGGCUGCAACUCGCCUGCAUGAAGUUGGAGUUGCUAGUAACCGCAGGUCAGCCACACUGCGGUGAAUACGUUCCCGGGUCUUGUACACACCGCCCGUCACGUCAUGGGAGCUGGUAACACCUGAAGCCGGUGAGCCAACCGCUAAGGAGGUAGCCGUCGCAAGG
rnacentral:rRNA from 1 species